rnacentral:rRNA from 1 species
CCUACGGGUGGCAGCAGUGAGGAAUAUUGGUCAAUGGACGAGAGCCUGAACCAGCCAAGUAGCGUGAAGGAUGACUGCCCUAUGGGUUGUAAACUUCUUUUAUAUGGGAAUAAAAUGUUCCACGUGUAGUACUUUGCAUGUACCAUAUGAAUAAGGAUCGGCUAACUCCGUGCCAGCAGCCGCGGUAAUACGGAGGAUCCGAGCGUUAUCCGGAUUUAUUGGGUUUAAAGGGAGCGUAGGUGGAUUGUUAAGUCAGUUGUGAAAGUUUGCGGCUCAACCGUAAAAUUGCAGUUGAGACUGGCAGCCUUGAGUACAGUAGAGGUAGGCGGAAUUCGUGGUGUAGCGGUGAAAUGCUUAGAUAUCACGAAGAACUCCGAUUGCGAAGGCAGCUUGCUGGACUGCAACUGACGCUGAGGCUCGAAAGUGUGGGUAUCAAACAGGAUUAGAUACCCCUGUAGUC